rnacentral:misc_RNA from 1 species
UCUCCACCAGAGACCAAUACACUUCACUCACUGGAAUAUUACUAGCACUGGAAUUCUCGCUUAUGAUCUGCUGCUGCUGCUGUGACAUUUGUUUCUUUCUCUGACUUAGCCCUAAAUCAAGGAGAAAUUACGCUCGAAGAAUCACAUAACCACGCGUAUUUGAUCGUUUUUUUUCAAUUUCUCAGGUCGUUUUGAAUGAUCUGGUCCUGAUCGAUGAAUGGUAUUGGUAGGCAAUAGCAAUAAUAUUAUUUUUACAACAAGGAGUAGUGGAGAAUAAUAAAGAUGACUUUCAGAACUGGGAAAAGAGAUGAUGACGGGAAACGGGGUAAUUCCGGUGGAGUGAGGGUGAGAGUACUCAGACGGUAACCGGAGGUGGAAGGGAAUGUAUAGAAUGUGGGGUCCAAUGCUUCCGGUCCG